rnacentral:rRNA from 1 species
AUGCCACAUAUGAUUGCUCUUACUUCUGUCCUUUUUGGCCCACACCAGAUGCCACAUAUGAUUGCUCUGACUUCUUUCCUUUUUGUCCCGCAGCGCUCUACUGCACCCAAAGAUGAUUCAAAAGGGAGCAGCUGCGGCGAGAGUCCCAGCGCCGACCGCAACCCUAGCCUAAAUCAGAACACGCCGGCUAACGCUUCCGGAGGGGGUCGCAGUCGCGGCCAAGGCCGCUGCCGAGGCGCGGCGCGACGCCCGUUCACGACCCUCAGCCAGGUCCACGCUGACCUCCAGGAGCAGGAAAUUUUGGCAAGAUCUCGCUGCCCCAGCCGUCCCGAGAGGGCGUACAUGAUGCUGCAGAUGAACGAAGGUGGCGAGGGCAGCGAUUAUGGGACCUCGGAGGCCGGGAGCUACGAGCAUGAGCAUGAGGAGGAGCUGGAGCACCACCACCGCGUUCACCACCAGGAGCACCCGGUGGCAUCCAUGGUGAUGGGGAUGAUGAUCUCAAGGCUGAGGGUGAGGGCUACCUACGAGGAUGAAGGCGAGGACGAGCUCUCCGAGGCUUUGAAGAGGAGGGGUUCAAUUAGGAUGAGGAGGUGCAGGACGGAUGACACUGAGCAUAGAGAUCAUACUGUUGAUCUAGAUGAGUACUCUUAUGAGGCAAUUGCAUUGGGUGAAGUGGUUGGUACAGAAAGUAGAGGUGUCUCUGCUGAUACACUUGCUUCCUUAGCUUCUGUAACUUACAACACAAAAGAUAUGCAAGAUGACAACACAGAACAAUGUGUAAUUUGUUUGAGGGCAUUUGAGAAAGGUGAAUCCUUGGUUGCACUUCCCCGCAAGCAUUCAUACCAUCCCGACUGCAUUAUUCAGUGCCGUCAAACAAUUAAGUUAUGUAGUGUUCUGUACAAGAAAUCAACAUUUACUCCUGCCUUAUUAGGUUCUACGUGUAUAUACUGA